rnacentral:tRNA from 1 species
CAGGGAGACAACAAAAUGUUUAAUAUUAUUAUUUUGUCACCUUAGGUCGAUCGGUAUCUCACGUUCUUAAUUUAUUAAGAAUUUCUUUUCCUAAGUUUUUCUAGGUCACACCCAUUAUUUCCUGGGCCAUUAGCUCAGGUGGUUAGAGCGCACCCCUGAUAAGGGUGAGGUCCCUGGUUCAAGUCCAGGAUGGCCCAUAUCUCUAUGUUGGGGGUAUAGCUCAGUUGGUAGAGCGCCUGCUUUGCAAGCAGGAUGUCAGCGGUUCGAGUCCGCUUACCUCCACUGAUUACCACCUCUUCCAUAACUGGUAGAAAGGAAAUGUUUUGAGUUGUGAUUAUUAUUCUGAACGAAUCUAGCUUCCUAAUGAAAUCAUUAAGAUGCUGGACUCAUUGAAUUAAUUUCAUUGUUUUCAGAGAACCUUGACAACUGCAUAGAUUUUUUUAAAGACAAUAAGCAUCUUUAAUGAUGCAGAUUUAUUAUUUGUGCGAAUGCAUUAAUAACAAUUCUAUUAAGCUGAUGCUUCAAUUUUUGAAGUUAUU